UGUACUUUGUGGACUUGCAGGAUGACUUAGAGGACUAGCCCACUGUGCCGACUGAGCUGAUGGGGCAGAUCCCUCCUCCCAGUACAUCCUGCCUGGUGGAGCUCGGUACCUUGAGGAUCCAGACAACCAGGUCAGAAAACCCAGCCAGGAAGCGCUACUGGCCCUUCUGGAGCAAGGUCUCAUUUCCCAGUGUGACAUUGAAGGCUAAGUAUGUCCUGCUCUGCUGGAGCGGUCUGCUCCCAGCCGUGAUGAUGAAUGCAGGAAGGAGGCCAUGAGCGUAAUCUGCAGAAUGGCGGCCAUGCUGACCAUGCACAGUUGAACGCCUGCUGCUGCCUUGAACUGUGUGGUGCCUGGAAACUCUUCCAAGUUUGGAAGAUACCAACAUUUUUUGAGCUCUGCUCAGAUAACAUGAAGAAAGCAUGUUCAGAGUGCUUCACAGCUGUGUCCCACACUUCCCCCUGUGGUCUGCAGAACCCAGCUCUCAACUGUGUUCAUCAAACUCCUCAGUGAUCCCCAUCGAUAGGCUCAGGUAUUACCUGCCUGCCUGCCUGCCUGCCUGCCGCAUUGAGAGCGAGCAGCACAACCCUGCUCUGCUGGUGAACCCAAGAGCACGCAGACACACAGUCUGAAGGAAGAGCCUGUGUCAGAUCCCAGCCCAGCCUCUGACAAUCACAUCCUCCCGUCAGCUUCAUCAUCUCAGAAUGAGCUCUCCGCGGCCAGGAUAUUACAGAGCACAUGCACCAAUGAGGCGGUGCCUGCUUCCUGCUGUGAAGUGGGAUGAGCACACCUUGCGAGUCCAUGGUCUCCAGGACCCAGUGCACAUCCUCUGCUGGCGUGGCAGGUCGCUGCUCCCUUGCUGCCACGUCUUCUUCAUGUACCAAGGCCUGUCCCAACAGAGGCCAAAGGGGUUUGUCUUUUCUGAAAACUCACCUCUGCCCCUUCUUCUGUAGCCACACUAGAGGCUGCUCCGUGGGCCAUACAAAGGUGACUCUGGCCAUAAAGAGCAGAAAGUACAAGCCUACCUGUGGGCUGGCUUCCCCAGCUUUUCUGUGUAAGCGUGGCCCUUUGCAAGGCAGACUUGGCCCUGGGAUGUGAGGUGCAGCAUCCUGGAUGGGGUGGAUGGAGAUGCUGUUCUCCUCUGGUGUCAGUUUGUGACAUGUCCCAUCAACUCUGCAAGAUCCAGCUGAGCCUUCAAUUUGAACCAGUGACCGUCUGGAGACAGAACAGGGGCAAGAACAGACUGUGCUGGGAGAGAGUGAACCUAAAGUUCAGAUUUGUUCCUUGAAGCAAAAGUAAAGGACAAACCCCCAUAGCGAGCGCCGAGCCUGUACCUCUCCUUACAGCCAGUUCAUGAGCAGCCACUGGGAGCCAAGUGGGUUUCUUCCACCAGUAUUAACUAUAUAUCUAGUUAAGUACGUUGAUGACAUUUUCUUUCUGAAAAUCAUUAUGAAGUAGUGUUCAAAGUCAGCGCAGCUCAGCAGUAAAACCUCACUCGAAUGCUUGAAGACAAUUGGUUUUGCUUUUUUUGGUACAAACAUUUUGUAAGCUUCUUUUGUUGGGCUAUGUUUAUAUUCCUCUACCUCACAGAUUGGCCCCUUGUGCCAUACAAAGCCCCUUAAAUACUUUAAGUCAUUAUCACACAUUGGCCUUCCAUAGCCAAGUAUACACAGGUGAUGUGUUUAUACUGAGGGUCGCCUCAAGAUCUCCUGAUGAUGCCAAGGGCAGGCUUGAGCCCAGCCUCCUAGGCUGCUAGAGCGGAUGGUCCCCACGCUGACCCCUGUGCAUGGACUCUGCUCUCCAGACUCUCCUCUCUGGCAAGGCGUCGCUGGCUUUGGGGCAGCUGACUGCAGGUACUAAUGUCCCUCUGGCUGUCCUUGCCUCAUCUCUGCAUUGCUGUGACACCUGCCCUCCUGGCUUCAGCCCUCCUUGCCAGGAGGCUGAUCUCCUUUUUCCUGUUUCCCAGGUUACGGUCCCUCAGCCUCUGCUCCACUAGUUCAUUUCAUGACCCACCGAGAGCCCAGACUGUGGACACUGUCUUACCAAGCGCUGUGCGCAUAGCCUUCCUGGGCCUCCGCUGCCAGCACUAGCCCUGCCUGAAGGACACUUUGUGAAACGUUGGCUUCAGAUGUUCGGGAACUGGCAGUGAUUCGCGGGGAUCAGCUGACAGCAGCCGACCUGGUGCCUAUCUUCAGUGGCUUCUUGAAGGAUCUGGUCAAAGACAAGAGGAGAGUGCACCUCUGCCAGCUGCCGAGGUUGGUGGUGACUGACAGCAGCCCGAACUAGGGGUUUCCAUAUGGACUAGCAGAGUUACAGCUAGUCAUCUCACAAAUAAUUGUCUUCCUGAAGAAAUCCAUCAGGCUUUUGCAGCUACGUAGGAUAUGAUUUGGCCGGUGCCGGGGGCAAACUGGAAGAUUUUCUCUUUGCUGUGAGCUUUAAUCAUUAUCCUUAAUUUGAGAGGUUGAAGUUUAGUCAUUAUGUCAUGUUCGCAGCACACUCCUGCAAAAAGAACUGAGAAAAACAAGCCUGUGCCCGGCGCGGCGACCCUGCGCCCCCUGGCGGCGGGUGCUGGGCGAGCCCCCGGCGUCCCGGGCCCUAUCUCCCAUCGCUUGGCUUAUUGCAGUGGCCGGUUGCGAUAACGGCUGCGCCCGGCGCGAUAUUGGCCUCAUUUUCCCCCCGCAGACGGCGGGAGCGAUAUGAAGCCGUUCGCCGCGGCCCGCUUCCUCCCCGCCCUUUUUCAUUUCCUCUGCCCGCGUGCAAAUCACACCACUCUCUCUCACCCGAGCCGAGCAGGGCCGCAGCAAGCGAGACAGAAAGAAUGAGGGGGAAACACCUAGCGAAAAACCGAAGGGAAAAAAAAGAGCGAGGGAAAAGACCUAGCGAGAAAAAGAGAGGGGGUUAAAAGACCUGCCGAGAAAGGGCGAGAGGGAAAGACCUAGCGAAAACCCGAGGGGAAAAAAGAAUGAGGGAAAAGACCUAGCGAGGAAAAGCGACGGGUAGAUGUAGCGAAAAACCGAGGGGGGAAAAGAGCGAGGAAAAAGAUCUAGCGAGGAACGGCGAGGAGGAAAGACCUAGGGAGAAAGAGCGAGGGGAAAAAAAAAACCUAACGAGGAGGAGCGAGAGGAAAAGACCUGCCGAGAAAGAGCGAGGAAAGAAAACCUAGCGAGCAGGAGCGAAGGAAAAAGACCUGCGGGAAAAGAUCAAAGCGGGAAAAAUUAGCGAGCAGGAGCGAGGGAAAAAGACCUGCCGAGAAAGAUCGAGGGAGAAAAACAAAAAAAACAAAAAACAGCGAGCAGAAGCGAGGAGGAAAAACCUGCCGAGAAAGAUCGAGAGGAAAAAAACAAAACAACACAAACCUAGCGAGCAGGAGCGAGGAGGAAAAACCUGCGGAGAAGGAGCGAGGGGAAAAGGGCGGCCGAGUCAGACGGCUAAGUGGGGAAAGCGCGCGAGGAAGUGGUGUGAAAAAAGGAUAAAGAUUGAGAAAGAGCGGGCGAAAAAGCUAGGGGAAAGCGGUCUAGAAAGAAGAACCACGGGGCAAGAGCGAUGUUGAAAAUGAAGGAAGGAGUGAGAAGAAAAAAAAAAAAAAACGGAGGAGAAAGAACAAGGGAGAAACGGCGAGAAAAAGAGCGCGGGCGCCGCCAUCCGCCGCUCGGCUCCUCGCUCCGGCUCGCCAAGGCGACCGGGCAACUGCUGCAGCCCGUAGCUGCUUUUAAGUGGUCUGGUGUAGGGCAGACUUUGUGUGUGUUUAAACCAUAACCGGACCUGGGAGCCUCAAACCCUGAACGCACGAACCCCUAUUUUACAAAGCGCUUGGGUGCACAGUACACGGCGGCUUCGGCACGCCCGCUGCUCCCGCUACCGCUGCGCCCGCGCGCGGCCCACUUGGAAAGGAGCAAGAAUCCAUUAAAUGUGGUAGGGGUCCCCCUGCUUGUUCUUAUAGGCAACACAGCUGCUCCUGAUCUUGGAUCUGUAGACUUCAGCGACGUUAGCGGUUGCCUGAAACACGUUGCCCUGAAGUUGUGCACAAAGUUUUUCGAGUGCGCUGCAUUUCAUUCAAUCUAGUAAGGAGCCGCUGGCCUUGCCCGUAGCACAUUCUUGUAAAUAGCUCUCUUUCUGUUUCCGUCUUAACUCCAUUAUUUUUUUUUCUGGGUUCUAUUUGUCAUUUUCUCUAUAAG
rnacentral:lncRNA from 1 species